rnacentral:rRNA from 1 species
UGGGGAAUAUUGCACAAUGGGCGCAAGCCUGAUGCAGCCAUGCCGCGUGUAUGAAGAAGGCCUUCGGGUUGUAAAGCACUUUCAGCGGGGAGGAAGGCGAUAAGGUUAAUAACCUUGUCGAUUGACGUUACCCGCAGAAGAAGCACCGGCUAACUCCGUGCCAGCAGCCGCGGUAAUACGGAGGGUGCAAGCGUUAAUCGGAAUUACUGGGCGUAAAGCGCACGCAGGCGGUCUGUCAAGUCGGAUGUGAAAUCCCCGGGCUCAACCUGGGAACUGCAUUCGAAACUGGCAGGCUAGAGUCUUGUAGAGGGGGGUAGAAUUCCAGGUGUAGCGGUGAAAUGCGUAGAGAUCUGGAGGAAUACCGGUGGCGAAGGCGGCCCCCUGGACAAAGACUGACGCUCAGGUGAAAGCGUGGGGAGCAAACAGG